rnacentral:rRNA from 1 species
CUACGGGCUGCUGCAGUGAGGAAUAUUGCACAAUGGGGGAAACCCUGAUGCAGCAACGCCGCGUGGAGGAUGACGCAUUUCGGUGUGUAAACUCCUUUUAUAUGUCAAGAAAAUGACGGUAGCAUAUGAAUAAGCACCGGCUAACUCCGUGCCAGCAGCCGCGGUAAUACGGAGGGUGCAAGCGUUACUCGGAAUCACUGGGCGUAAAGGACGCGUAGGCGGGUUGUCAAGUCAGGUGUGAAAUCCUACAGCUUAACUGUAGAACUGCACUUGAAACUGGCAGCCUAGAGUAUGGGAGGGGGAGAUGGAAUUAGUAGUGUAGGGGUAAAAUCCGUAGAUAUUACUAGGAAUAUCAAAAGCGAAGGCGAUCUCCUGGAACAUUACUGACGCUAAGGCGUGAAAGCGUGGGGAGCAAACAGGAUUAGAUACCCGCGUAGUC